AGGGAGCUAGCGUUGUUCGGAAUUACUGGGCGUAAAGCGCACGUAGGCGGCUUUGUAAGUUAGAGGUGAAAGCCCGGGGCUCAACCCCGGAAUUGCCUUUAAGACUGCAUCGCUUGAAUCCAGGAGAGGUGAGUGGAAUUCCGAGUGUAGAGGUGAAAUUCGUAGAUAUUCGGAAGAACACCAGUGGCGAAGGCGGCUCACUGGACUGGUAUUGACGCUGAGGUGCGAAAGCGUGGGGAGCAAACAGG
rnacentral:rRNA from 1 species